rnacentral:rRNA from 1 species
GUGGGGAAUCUUCCGCAAUGGACGAAAGUCUGACGGAGCAACGCCGCGUGAGUGAUGAAGGUCUUCGGAUUGUAAAACUCUGUUGUCAGGGACGAAUGUGCGAAUGUUGAAUAAGCAUUUGUAUUGACGGUACCUGACGAGGAAGCCACGGCUAACUACGUGCCAGCAGCCGCGGUAAUACGUAGGUGGCAAGCGUUGUCCGGAAUUAUUGGGCGUAAAGAGCAUGUAGGCGGGCUUUUAAGUCCGACGUGAAAAUGCGGGGCUUAACCCCGUAUGGCGUUGGAUACUGGAAGUCUUGAGUGCAGGAGAGGAAAGGGGAAUUCCCAGUGUAGCGGUGAAAUGCGUAGAUAUUGGGAGGAACACCAGUGGCGAAGGCGCCUUUCUGGACUGUGUCUGACGCUGAGAUGCGAAAGCCAGGGUAGCAAACGGGAUUAGAAACCCCGGUAGUCC